UUUCCAGAGAUGGAUUGGUGCCUUCGGGAACUCUGACACAGGUGCUGCAUGGCUGCCGUCAGCUCGUGUCGUGAGAUGUUGGGUUAAGUCCCGUAACGAGCGCAACCCUUGUCCUUAGUUACCAGCACGUUAUGGUGGGCACUCUAAGGAGACUGCCGGUGACAAACCGGAGGAAGGUGGGGAUGACGUCAAGUCAUCAUGGCCCUUACGGCCUGGGCUACACACGUGCUACAAUGGUCGGUACGAAGGGUUGCCAAGCCGCGAGGUGGAGCUAAUCCCAUAAAACCGAUCGUAGUCCGGAUCGCAGUCUGCAACUCGACUGCGUGAAGUCGGAAUCGCUAGUAAUCGUGAAUCAGAAUGUCACGGUGAAUACGUUCCCGGGCCUU
rnacentral:rRNA from 1 species